AAGGGAAGUAACCCCGGAAAAAGACUUGCUACCUCAAGUCCUAAUGGAAGGGGAUUCCCCUUCUAAACACUAAGAAGAUCAACACUCUCCCCUCCUCCCAUCCCAUAAAUCAUCACCAGAUCUUCAAUAAAGGUAAGUGUCAUGUAACUGUGCAUGUCUUCUUCAGUUUGUGUGUAUUAAAACUAAUAUUUCAUGCGGUAAAAUUUUUUUUUCAAUACUUUGGGGUGUCAGGAACGGAUUAAUUUGAUUUCCAUUAUUUCUUAUGGGGAAAAUUAACUCAACUAACGAUAAUUUCGAUUAACGAUGAGCUCUCAGGAAUGGAUUAAUAUCGCUGGUCGAGGGUUGUUAUGGGGCUAUAGGACCCAACAUGUAUUUAUAAGUAACAGUUACUCUGGAAUACCUAAUUAUAUUGAAUUGAUGGGGACUCAGUUCUAAAUGUCAUAAGGGCUGAUCAACCUUAUGACUGAGAGGCAGCUGGGUCAAGCCUAUUUUUCUCAAUAUAAUAGGUUAUACUAUAGACACAUAAACACACAAUUUAAAUAAGUAGUUUAUAAAGUUGUAUUUCUUUUUGUAAAAAUAAAAUUAAGAUGUGGUAGAAUUGUGGUAACUGGAGAAUUGUGCUUGGCAACAGUCUUUUGUUUUGGUGGGAGGAGCUUAGCUAGGCUUCUCUCUCUCUCCCUCUCUCUAUGGCUGACCUUCAACCUGGCAGGAUCUCUGGGUCCUUCUUCUAUCUUUUGGGGCAGUAUGUGUGCUCCAGGGGUCCUCGAGUAAACAGUACCAGUCCUACACCAAAUGGUAAAAAUACCUUUAAGAGUUAUGCCUGUUACUACUGUAACAAAACUGGACACACACAAAAGUUUUGCUGGUCAAGGCAGCGAGAUCAGGAAAGGGAGGAACCACCCCAGAGGACUCUAACUGCAGACACACAUCCAGUUGCCUGUAUUUGGUCUUCAAAGCAAGGUGAGGAGGUACCUUUGGGUCUAGACCCCAGGAUGCAGGUAUUUUCUAGUAAGUGCACAGUUGCUUUGCAUAAGGAUGUGGGUAGGGUUGAGAACAUAGUGUCCUUGAGAGAUGGAUGUAGCACCUACUCCUUGCUGGAGUGUUGCCAGUGUCUAAGGAUACCUAUAUGGAGUAGAUAUAUUAUUGAAGGGUAUUACGGGUUCAACCAUAAGGACACCUGUACACAAAUUAUGGGUAGAAUCUGCAUACCAAGUGUUAUGGGGUAAAAACCCAACAUGUAUUUAUAAGUAACAGUUACUCUGGAAUACCUAAUUAUAUUGAAUUAAUGGGGACUUUGCUCUAAAUGUCAGAAGGACUGAUCAACCUUAUGACUGAGAGGCAGCUGGGUCAAGCCUAUUUUUCUCAAUAUAAUAGGUUAUACUAUAGACACAUAAACACACAAUUUAAAUAAGUAGUUUAUAAAGUUGUAUUUCUUUUUGUAAAAGUAAAAUUAAGGUGUGGUAGAAUUGUGGUAACUGGAGAAUUGUGCUUGGCAACAGUCUUUUGUUUUGGUGGGAGGAGCUUAGCCAGGCUCUCUCUCUCUCUCCCUCUCACUGACUCUCUCUCUCUGUGGCUGACCUUCAACCUGGCAGAAUCUCUGGGUCCUUCUUCUAUCUUUUGGGGCAUCAUGUGUGCUUCAGGGGUGAGUUUUUAUAAUUUAAGUUGUGGCCACCAUACCCAGGGUGACUAAAGUGUGUCAAAACACUGGUUAGCCCAGAGUUAUGUCAAGAAGAGAGAAGGACAAAAGUUGUUGGAACACACCAUGUGGAGAACAGGUAUGGAGUGUGUAGAUUUUGUUUUGAAAAUGUGAGGCUGUGAUUGUAUAUUCUGUACAUAUCUAUUGAGAAUACAGUUAUAUUUUUAUA